UAGGGGGCAAGCGUUAUCCGGAUUUACUGGGUGUAAAGGGAGCGUAGACGGCAAUGCAAGUCAGAUGUGAAAGCCCGGGGCCCAACCGCGGGACUGCAUUUGAAACUGUGAUGCUGGAGUGCAGGAGAGGUAAGUGGAAUUCCUAGUGUAGCGGUGAAAUGCGUAGAUAUUAGGAGGAACACCAGUGGCGAAGGCGGCUUACUGGACUGUAACUGACGUUGAGGCUCGAAAGCGUGGGGAGCAAA
rnacentral:rRNA from 1 species